UCACCUCCACUCCCUCACACGCAAUACACACCCUCAUCCUCACUCAACACACACGAAGAAAUCAGAAAGCUAAGGGGGAGAACAGGAAGAAGAAGAGAGGAGAGGGAAGGAAGGAGAGAACAACGGCGGCUAACUGGCUAGGGCUUUGCCGUCGUCGUCGUCGAAUGCCAGUGAGAGAGAAGAGCUCGAGGAAGAGAAAACGCAAUGGAGGAGAGAAGAAAGGGGUGCUCCGUCGUCGCUGAAGCUCCACCGCCGCUGCUAGGGCUUUUUGCCGUCGCCGUUCUGCCACCGCCAGGCUGAUGUACCGCCGCCGAGGAUCUCGAAGGGAUGUCUCGCUGCCGUUAUACUCUGUCGCCGUGCUGCCGUCGACUGGAGCUCGCCGCUGAGCUGCUGCACCGUCUCCAAGCCGUUGCGUCACUGCUCAUCUCUUCUUCACCGUCGCCGCUCAUCACCAUGGUCAUAUCCUCUGUCACCAAAUAUAAAAUCAGGACAUGGAAGUGGACAUAUUGAGCAGACUAAACCACCUAAAUCUUAUUUCCUUGAUUGGCUCCUGUGCAGAGAAACCAUUUUUCUGCUUCGCUUUAUUUUUAGUGUAAUGGAAACAAAGCUCAAUUGCUGUGAAGAAUGUGCCUCAAAUUAUGAAAAGAAAUCUCAAUUUCUCAGACCAGGCCACAAGAAAACGUUACCUUUAUGGCUUCAGCCUCAUACCACCGAAACAAAUCAUCAGAAGGAUGAAUUAACCAGUUGAAAAGGAAAUGGAAUAGGCUAUGCCAGUGUCUUCACCAAACCAAACAAGAAGCUCAGGAUUAUUGGAGCAACAACAAUAGUUGGAAUGCAAAGUCCUACACUUUUAACAAUAAUUCAUCAAGUUCUGUGUCUUUUACAGAUAAACCAACACCAAUACAUAACUCCAAUCUUGUACCUAGAUUCAGACGUCAAAAUUCUUGCACCAUUGAGUUCAAUUUCAGCGAUAAAAGGCAAGCAACAACAGAACCAGUCUUAGGUUCCAUGGAAUUAUUGGAAGGUAAAGAAGUAAUAAAGACUACUCUUGCUCUUGGGAAUGGUGGUUCUGGUUCAGGUAGUGAAACGGUGGUGGUGGAAAAUAUAACCAAUAGAACACUGCGAAGAGCUCAUUUUUGAAACAUAUCGCUUUUUUGAAUCCAGUUUUCCAAGAUUGUUUAACUAAUUUGUUGUUACAACUAACAGACCAGAAAACUCACUCUACAAAGUCUCUAGGUUAAUUUUAAUUUUGUUGUUUGGAUUUUGUUUGAAUUUAAUUUUUUUCCAUGUGCUUUGAUGUGAGAAUGCAGACAGUAAUUUGGGUUUUACUGAGAUUUGAUUAAUAGUAUCAUAACAAGUUGGGGUUGGGGUUGAGUUCCCAUUAGAUAUAAGUUACAUAACUCUACCGUGUGAAGUGCUACUUCAUAAAUCAUAAUCAUUCUUAAGCUUAUUAUGCUGUAUGUAUCUGAUUCAUGUGCAAAAAAGUAGCUUAACUGUCCAUUCAUACCUCAAUUAUAUUCAAUUGCAUGUCAUUAUUCCAUUAUAUCUUUUCUAUUAUUCAAAGGUAAUAAAUCAUAGAACUGUUACAAUAAUGUAAAAACAUGAAUUAUGCGGAGUACCUGGAGAAAUAUUUUUUAUUUUAUUAGGUGAAAAAUUAACUUCUUAUCAUGAUUAAUUUGUGAAAUUUUGAUAAUAUUUCUGAUAUUUAUUUUUUCAUUGCUGGCUUUUUUAUUUUUUUCCCUAAAUUUUUUGUAUACUGGAUAUGGAAGGGAGCCUUGGAGCAAUGAUUUAAGUUUCUCCAAGUCAUUUCUAGGUCACAGGCUCAAGCUGUGUAAUUAGUCACUACCACUUGCAUUGAGUUAUGUGUUUCUUGGUUCACCGUCGCCGCUCAUUACCGCGCUCACCAAUGUCAAAGAAACUGUGUGCUCUCUCCCGACUGCUUCUCUGCUUUGCUGUGAAGCAUCAAGGUUUCCGAUGAGUCAAAGCAUCGAUCCCUAACAAGCGAGAGAGUAAUAGAAGGGGAAUCGUCUAGUUCCAUUGAGAAGCAUUUAGUUUCUGUUGAGGCAAGAUUAGAAAUUUCACUUCCUUUCUUGACAAAGUUAUAGUGGAAACAAAUGCUGUCAGCCUUGAUUAAAAUUGUUCUUCACACCUAUUUCAAGCUGGUUUCUUUUCUGAUUAUGAAUUGAAUAGUAAAAAAAAAAAUUCUGCAGUUUCAUUUUUGUUUUCUGUGUCUGUUGUGCAGGUUGGCAAUUCGCUAUUUUGAUUUAUUAAAGUCAAUUCAUGAACACAGAAAAAAGAUUGAUAAUUCUUACGGAUUCUGGCAGCAAAAAUAUUAGAAGGGCAUGGAUUAUAGGAAGUCGUAAUGGUGAAGACAGAAUUGCUCCACUGCUUGUGUUGAGCUCUUCUUUCAAAAAAAAAAAAAAUUGGUGAAGAUAGAAUUGACGUAGGAUAUAAUAUUUUAGUUUUUAGUAGAGUAUUAGUAGUAAAUUCUAAGUGGUCUCAUAUUUAUUUUGAUAUAGCUAUGCUUAAUUUAGUGUGAGAUGUAUGAAUAUUAAUACUUUUGGAUCAUUAUAAAUAUAUUUUAU